rnacentral:lncRNA from 1 species
GAAACUUUUUCAAGAUCAUACAGCGGAAGACUAAAAUAAAUCAAAAUUUAUUUUCUAAGAUCAAAAAAUCCCUAGAUCUAAGAUCCUAUUACAUGAUUAUUACAUAGCAUUAAAUCAAAAAUUAAAAUAUAUAUAAAUAUAGUAUGAACUACAUGUUGAUCAUAUCAACAUGUUUCUAUGCUAGCUGCAUCUAAUGUAUGUAUUAAAUAAUAGAUCAGAUCUAUUACCUUGCAAGUUAGAUGCUCUAACCUCGCUGAUCCGGGCUUAAGGAUGAUGUUACAAGCCGCACACGCAUCCNNNN